rnacentral:tRNA from 1 species
GGGGUUGUGGCUCAGUGGUAGAACAUUCACCUAUCAUGUGCAAGGCCCUGGGUUCAAUCCCCAGCACCA